CCCUGGCCAUGUACCACCAUUAAAAAUAAAAGUGUGCUUUUUCUCUAACUAGCUACCGUAGCCCUGGAGAUGAACCCACCUGGGUAGAGUGAGGAGUGGGAGAAACUGCUGCUUCUGAUCUCAGGAGACAUUUGGACCUCAGGAGACACUGCAGGAGGAGCAGGCACUAUGGUGCUCAGUAUCACUGUGGUAUUCAGGUUCAUUCUGAACUGGGACAAAUGUUGGAGAUCUCACUUCUGGAAAGCACAUCUGAGCAGCUGAGUUGAACCAGGAUAGUGCUUAGGAAAACACUUAUGGGGCAGCAAUCACCUUUGAAGCUCAUUUGAUCAAAGCAACUCAGAAACCCACUUCUCUGAAGAUAAUGUUCCCUCAGCUCUCCAG
rnacentral:lncRNA from 1 species